rnacentral:rRNA from 1 species
GGGGAAUAUUGGACAAUGGGCGCAAGCCUGAUCCAGCAAUACCGCGUGUGUGAAGAAGGCCUGCGGGUUGUAAAGCACUUUUAGUGGGGAAGAUAAUGACGUUACCCACAGAAAAAGCACCGGCUAACUCCGUGCCAGCAGCCGCGGUAAUACGGAGGGUGCAAGCGUUAAUCGGAAUUACUGGGCGUAAAGCGUGCGUAGGCGGCUCUUUAAGUCGGAUGUGAAAUCCCCGGGCUCAACCUGGGAACUGCAUCCGAUACUGGGGAGUUAGAAUGUGGGAGAGGGAAGUGGAAUUUCCGGUGUAGCGGUGAAAUGCAUAGAGAUCGGAAGGAACAUCAGUGGCGAAGGCGACUUCCUGGACCAACAGUGACGCUGAGGCACGAAAGCGUGGGUAGCAAAC